CCUACGGGUGGCUGCAGUGGGGAAUAUUGCACAAUGGGGGAAACCCUGAUGCAGCGACGCCGCGUGAGUGAAGAAGUAAUUCGUUAUGUAAAGCUCUAUCAGCAGGGAAGAAAAUGACGGUACCUGAGUAAGAAGCCCCGGCUAACUACGUGCCAGCAGCCGCGGUAAUACGUAGGGGGCAAGCGUUAUCCGGAUUUACUGGGUGUAAAGGGAGCGUAGGCGGGAUAGUAAGUUGAUUGUUAAAACUAUCGGCUCAACUGGUAGAUGCGAUCAAAACUGCAAUUCUUGAGUGAAGUAGAGGCAGUCGGAAUUCCUAGUGUAGCGGUGAAAUGCGUAGAUAUUAGGAGGAACACCAGUGGCGAAGGCGGUCUGCUGGGCUUUAACUGACGCUGAGGCUCGAAAGUGUGGGUAGCAAACAGGAUUAGAUACCCGGGUAGUC
rnacentral:rRNA from 1 species